rnacentral:rRNA from 1 species
AUGAGAUUGCAUUAUUACCCUAGAAAGGCUAACGUAGUAGCUGAUGCGCUGAGUCGUAAAAGUCAUGUCAACACCUUAAUGACGGGAGAAUUACCAAGGGAGUUAGCCAAAAAUCUUCAUGAGCUAUGUUUGGAGAUAGUUUCGAGAGGCUAUGUAGCAGCAUUGGAGAUUCAGUCUACCUUGAUGGAUAAGAUCAGAGAAGCCCAGAAGACUAACAAGGAGAUUGCUUCUAUUAAGGAGAAAAUGAACAAAGGAAAAGCUAAAGGAUUUCGUGAGGAUGAGCACGAUACCUUGUGGUUUGAAGAUCGUGUUUAUGUGCCCAAUGACCCGGAGAUCAGGAAGUUAAUUCUGCAGGAGGCCAUGAUUCACCAUAUUCGAUUCACCCAGGAAAUACCAAGAUGUAUUUGGAUUUGA